UCCAGACUCCUACGGGAGGCAGCAGUGGGGAAUAUUGGGCAAUGGAGGAAACUCUUACCCAGCAAUGCCGCGUGAAUGAAGAAGGUCUUCGGAUUGUAAAGUUCUUUAAUCGGGGACGAAAAAAAUGACGGUACCCAAGGAAUAAGCCCCGGCUAACUACGUGCCAGCAGCCGCGGUAAUACGUAGGGGGCAAGCGUUAUCCGGAUUUACUGGGUGUAAAGGGAGCGUAGACGGCAGCGCAAGUCUGGAGUGAAAGGCGGGGGCUCAACCCCCGGACUGCUCUGGAAACUGUACGGCUGGAGUGCAGGAGAGGUAAGUGGAAUUCCUAGUGUAGCGGUGAAAUGCGUAGAUAUUAGGAGGAACACCAGUGGCGAAGGCGGCUUACUGGACUGUAACUGACGUUGAGGCUCGAAAGCGUGGGGAGCAAACAGGAUUAGAUACCCUAGUA
rnacentral:rRNA from 1 species